rnacentral:rRNA from 1 species
UUAAGUUAUUAAGGGCGCACGGUGGAUGCCUUGGCACUAGAAGCCGAUGAAGGACGUUACUAACGACGAUAUGCUUUGGGGAGCUGUAAGUAAGCUUUGAUCCAGAGAUUUCCGAAUGGGGAAACCCAGCAUGAGUUAUGUCAUGUUAUCGAUAUGUGAAUACAUAGCAUAUCAGAAGGCACACCCGGAGAACUGAAACAUCUUAGUACCCGGAGGAAGAGAAAGAAAAUUCGAUUCCCUUAGUAGCGGCGAGCGAAAUGGGAAGAGCCCAAACCAACAAGCUUGCUUGUUGGGGUUGUAGGACACUCUAUACGGAGUUACAAAGGACGACAUUAGACGAAUCAUCUGGAAAGAUGAAUCAAAGAAGGUAAUAAUCCUGUAGUCGAAAAUGUUGUCUCUCUUGAGUGGAUCCUGAGUACGACGGAGCACGUGAAAUUCCGUCGGAAUCUGGGAGGACCAUCUCCUAAGGCUAAAUACUCUCUAGUGACCGAUAGUGAACCAGUACCGUGAGGGAAAGGUGAAAAGCACCCCGGAAGGGGAGUGAAAUAGAACCUGAAACCGUGUGCUUACAAGUAGUCAGAGCCCGUUAAUGGGUGAUGGCGUGCCUUUUGUAGAAUGAACCGGCGAGUUACGAUUUGAUGCAAGGUUAAGCAGUAAAUGUGGAGCCGUAGCGAAAGCGAGUCUGAAUAGGGCGUUUAGUAUUUGGUCGUAGACCCGAAACCAGGUGAUCUACCCUUGGUCAGGUUGAAGUUCAGGUAACACUGAAUGGAGGACCGAACCGACUUACGUUGAAAAGUGAGCGGAUGAACUGAGGGUAGCGGAGAAAUUCCAAUCGAACCUGGAGAUAGCUGGUUCUCUCCGAAAUAGCUUUAGGGCUAGCCUCAAGUGAUGAUUAUUGGAGGUAGAGCACUGUUUGGACGAGGGGCCCCUCUCGGGUUACCGAAUUCAGACAAACUCCGAAUGCCAAUUAAUUUAACUUGGGAGUCAGAACAUGGGUGAUAAGGUCCGUGUUCGAAAGGGAAACAGCCCAGACCACCAGCUAAGGUCCCAAAAUAUAUGUUAAGUGGAAAAGGAUGUGGCGUUGCCCAGACAACUAGGAUGUUGGCUUAGAAGCAGCCAUCAUUUAAAGAGUGCGUAAUAGCUCACUAGUCGAGUGACACUGCGCCGAAAAUGUACCGGGGCUAAACAUAUUACCGAAGCUGUGGAUUGUCCUUUGGACAAUGGUAGGAGAGCGUUCUAAGGGCGUUGAAGCAUGAUCGUAAGGACAUGUGGAGCGCUUAGAAGUGAGAAUGCCGGUGUGAGUAGCGAAAGACGGGUGAGAAUCCCGUCCACCGAUUGACUAAGGUUUCCAGAGGAAGGCUCGUCCGCUCUGGGUUAGUCGGGUCCUAAGCUGAGGCCGACAGGCGUAGGCGAUGGAUAACAGGUUGAUAUUCCUGUACCACCUAUAAUCGUUUUAAUCGAUGGGGGGACGCAGUAGGAUAGGCGAAGCGUGCGAUUGGAUUGCACGUCUAAGCAGUAAGGCUGAGUAUUAGGCAAAUCCGGUACUCGUUAAGGCUGAGCUGUGAUGGGGAGAAGACAUUGUGUCUUCGAGUCGUUGAUUUCACACUGCCGAGAAAAGCCUCUAGAUAGAAAAUAGGUGCCCGUACCGCAAACCGACACAGGUAGUCAAGAUGAGAAUUCUAAGGUGAGCGAGCGAACUCUCGUUAAGGAACUCGGCAAAAUGACCCCGUAACUUCGGGAGAAGGGGUGCUCUUUAGGGUUAACGCCCAGAAGAGCCGCAGUGAAUAGGCCCAAGCGACUGUUUAUCAAAAACACAGGUCUCUGCUAAACCGUAAGGUGAUGUAUAGGGGCUGACGCCUGCCCGGUGCUGGAAGGUUAAGAGGAGUGGUUAGCUUCUGCGAAGCUACGAAUCGAAGCCCCAGUAAACGGCGGCCGUAACUAUAACGGUCCUAAGGUAGCGAAAUUCCUUGUCGGGUAAGUUCCGACCCGCACGAAAGGCGUAACGAUUUGGGCACUGUCUCAACGAGAGACUCGGUGAAAUCAUAGUACCUGUGAAGAUGCAGGUUACCCGCGACAGGACGGAAAGACCCCGUGGAGCUUUACUGUAGCCUGAUAUUGAAAUUCGGCACAGCUUGUACAGGAUAGGUAGGAGCCUUUGAAACGUGAGCGCUAGCUUACGUGGAGGCGCUGGUGGGAUACUACCCUAGCUGUGUUGGCUUUCUAACCCGCACCACUUAUCGUGGUGGGAGACAGUGUCAGGCG